GACGAACGCUGGCGGCGUGCUUAACACAUGCAAGUCGAACGGGUCUGCCCUGUUUUUUGCGGGGUGGGUCAGUGGCGAACGGGUGAGUAACACGUGAGUAACCUGCCCCUCACUUCUGGAUAACCGCUUGAAAGGGUGGCUAAUACGGGGUGUUCUGGCUGUGCCGCAUGGUGUGGCUGGGAAAGAUUCACUUUUGUGGUGUUUUGGUGGGGGAUGGGCUCGCGGCCUAUCAGCUUGUUGGUGGGGUGAUGGCCUGCCAAGGCUUUGACGGGUAGCCGGCCUGAGAGGGUGGGCGGUCACACUGGGACUGAGAGACGGCCCAGACUCCUGCGGGAGGCAGCAGUGGGGGGUAGUGCACAAUGGGCGGAAGCCUGAUGCAGCGACGUCGCGUGAGGGAUGGAGGCCUGCGGGUUGUGAACCUCUUUCGCCGGUGAAGAAGGUCCUGCUCUUUGGGGUGGGGUUGACGGUAGCCGGGUUAUGAAGCGCCGGCUAACUACGUG
rnacentral:rRNA from 1 species